rnacentral:rRNA from 1 species
CCUACGGGGGGCUGCAGUGGGGAAUAUUGGACAAUGGGGGCAACCCUGAUCCAGCCAUGCCGCGUGUGUGAAGAAGGCCCUCGUGUUGUAAAGCACUUUCAGUGAGGAAGAACGCCUGGUGGUUAAUACCCAUCAGGAAAGACAUCACUCACAGAAGAAGCACCGGCUAACUCCGUGCCAGCAGCCGCGGUAAUACGGAGGGUGCGAGCGUUAAUCGGAAUUACUGGGCGUAAAGCGCGCGUAGGUGGCUUGAUAAGCCGGUUGUGAAAGCCCCGGGCUCAACCUGGGAACGGCAUCCGGAACUGUCAAGCUAGAGUGCAGGAGAGGAAGGUAGAAUUCCCGGUGUAGCGGUGAAAUGCGUAGAGAUCGGGAGGAAUACCAGUGGCGAAGGCGGCCUUCUGGACUGACACUGACACUGAGGUGCGAAAGCGUGGGUAGCAAACAGGAUUAGAUACCCUUGUAGUC